CGGAAUGUGGCGCAGCCUGGUAGCGCACUUGCAUGGGGUGCAAGGGGUCGCAAGUUCAAAUCUUGUCAUUCCGACCA
rnacentral:tRNA from 1 species